GGGGAUAUAGCUCAGUGGUAGAAUGCUUGCCUAGCGUGCAUGAGGCUCUGAGUUCAAUCCCCAGUUACCACA
rnacentral:tRNA from 1 species